CGAAUCAGGUGGAAUUUAUCCAACAGUCCCACGAGCAGGGAGCAGCCGCCGCGGCAGCGAAGAGUGGGGACGGGGAAGCGAUCGGAGGCAAUGGCGAACGGCGGCGACGGCGACGGCGACGUCCCGGAGAACGCCAACGAGCAUUGCCCCGGGACGCAGUCGGAGGCGGCCGGGAAGGCGGAGUCCUGCGCCGGGGUGCCCCAACCAGCAGAUCUGCGCCACCGCGCCCAAGGGCCCCGACCCAGACCUGCUUGCCAUCAUUGAGCGAAUGAAUACUGUGAAACAUAAGAUACUGGUGUUGUCUGGCAAGGGUGGUGUAGGGAAGAGUACUUUUUCAGCCCAGCUCUCAUUUGCCCUUGUUGAGAUGGACUAUCAGGUCGGCCUUCUUGACAUAGACAUAUGCGGACCUAGCAUCCCAAAAAUGUUAGAUAUUCAUCAAAGCAAUGUUGGCUGGUCACCAGUGUAUGUUGAGUCCAACCUUGGUGUCAUGUCAAUUGGAUUCAUGCUGCCGAACCCAGAUGAUGCUGUCAUAUGGAGAGGUCCUCGCAAGAAUGGGCUCGUCCGCGCCUAUGAAGAACUCCCAACAAGAAUUAACAGUAGUGGAAUGGGCAUAAACAAUAAAAGCACAUGUUCAUUCCUAUAACAAUCGUAGAGCUUAACUGCAAAAAAGCACUAUGAUCUGUUUCAACCGCUAUUGGGUGCUCAGAAAUGAUUUUCAGUUCUUUUUCCUA